UACGAAGGGGGCUAGCGUUGUUCGGAUUUACUGGGCGUAAAGCGCACGUAGGCGGAUCCUUAAGUCAGGGGUGAAAUCCCGGGGCUCAACCCCGGAACUGCCUUUGAUACUGGGGAUCUCGAGUCCGGGAGAGGUGAGCGGAACUGCGAGUGUAGAGGUGAAAUUCGUAGAUAUUCGCAAGAACACCAGUGGCGAAGGCGGCUCACUGGCCCGGUACUGACGCUGAGGUGCGAAAGCGUGGGGAGCAAACAGG
rnacentral:rRNA from 1 species